ACGAACGCUGGCGGCAUGCCUAACACAUGCAAGUCGAACGAGGCCUUCGGGUCUAGUGGCGCACGGGUGCGUAACGCGUGGGAACCUGCCCUUAGGUUCGGAAUAACUCCCCGAAAGGGGUGCUAAUACCGGAUAAUGUCUUCGGACCAAAGAUUUAUCGCCUUUGGAUGGGCCCGCGUUGGAUUAGCUAGUUGGUAGGGUAAAAGCCUACCAAGGCGACGAUCCAUAGCUGGUCUGAGAGGAUGAUCAGCCACACUGGGACUGAGACACGGCCCAGACUCCUACGGGAGGCAGCAGUGGGGAAUAUUGGACAAUGGGCGAAAGCCUGAUCCAGCAAUGCCGCGUGAGUGAUGAAGGCCUUAGGGUUGUAAAGCUCUUUUACCCGGGAUGAUAAUGACAGUACCGGGAGAAUAAGCUCCGGCUAACUCCGUG
rnacentral:rRNA from 1 species